rnacentral:rRNA from 1 species
CCUACGGGAGGCAGCAGUGGGGAAUCUUGCGCAAUGGGCGAAAGCCUGACGCAGCAACGCCGCGUGCGGGAAGAAGGCUCUCGGGUUGUAAACCGCUUUCAGCAGGAACGAAAAUGACGGUACUUGCAGAAGAAGGUGCGGCCAACUACGUGCCAGCAGCCGCGGUGACACGUAGGCACCAAGCGUUGUCCGGAUUUAUUGGGCGUAAAGAGCUCGUAGGCGGUUCGGUAAGUCAGGUGUGAAAACUUUGGGCUCAACCCAAAGCCUGCAUCUGAUACUGCUGUGACUAGAGUUCGGUAGGGGAGCGGGGAAUUCCUAGUGUAGCGGUGAAAUGCGCAGAUAUUAGGAGGAACACCGGUGGCGAAGGCGCCGCUCUGGGCCGAAACUGACGCUGAGGAGCGAAAGCGUGGGUAGCAAACAGGAUUAGAUACCCUGGUAGUCCACGCCGUAAACGUUGGGCACUAGGUGUGGGUUUCAACCAACGAAAUCCGCGCCGUCGCUAACGCAUUAAGUGCCCCGCCUGGGGAGUACGGCCGCAAGGUUAAAACCNCAAAGAAUUGACGGCNGAGACGNGCGACGCGACACGAGGGAGAG